CGUUAUCCAAGCGCAGCACAUGUUUGAGUAAGAGAACAUUCGUUCGGACUAUCGUAGGAUACGAUACGACACCAAAACAACGACGUGAGACGAUAUUUAGCAAUGGGAGGAAGUUCUGACGUGAGGCAAUAUUCGACUAUGGUGGACACUUAUGAUGACAAAUUUGGAAGCGGCAUGUGUGCAGCUAACGGCUACUCUUUGUACCUCAGUCAGACAACAAUCCUUGAUUGCGUCGAGCGGAUAUGCAAACGGCAGAGUGCGCAUGUACCCAUUACGGUAGCGGAUUUCGGAACAGCAGACGGGCGUACGUCCCUACAGCUACUCAACAAAG